CUAAUACAUGCAAGUCGAGCGCGGGAAGCAAACUGAAUCCUUCGGGAGGACGUUUGUGGAACGAGCGGCGGACGGGUGAGUAACACGUGGGCAACCUGCCUGUAAGACUGGGAUAACUCCGGGAAACCGGGGCUAAUACCGGAUGAUACUUCGUACCGCAUGGUACGGAGUUGAAAGAUGGUUUACGCUAUCACUUACAGAUGGGCCCGCGGCGCAUUAGCUAGUUGGUGGGGUAAUGGCUCACCAAGGCGACGAUGCGUAGCCGACCUGAGAGGGUGAUCGGCCACACUGGGACUGAGACACGGCCCAGACUCCUACGGGAGGCAGCAGUAGGGAAUCUUCCGCAAUGGACGCAAGUCUGACGGAGCAACGCCGCGUGAGUGAGGAAGGUCUUCGGAUCGUAAAACUCUGUUGUUAGGGAAGAACACGUACGAGAGUCACUGCUCGUACCUUGACGGUACCUAACCAGAAAGCCCCGGCUAACUACGUGCCAGCAGCCGCGGUAAUACGUAGGGGGCGAGCGUUGUCCGGAAUUAUUGGGCGUAAAGGGUGCGUAGGCGGUCUCUUAAGUCUGAUGUGAAAGCCCACGGCUUAACCGUGGAGGGUCAUUGGAAACUGGGAGACUUGAGUGCAGAAGAGGAGAGUGGAAUUCCAUGUGUAGCGGUGAAAUGCGUAGAGAUAUGGAGGAACACCAGUGGCGAAGGCGA
rnacentral:rRNA from 1 species